UGCCAGCCGCCGCGGUAAUACGGAGGGUCCAAGCGUUAAUCGGAAUUACUGGGCGUAAAGCGCGCGUAGGCGGCUUGGUCAGUCGGAUGUGAAAGCCCCGGGCUUAACCUGGGAAUUGCAUUCGAUACUGCUGAGCUAGAGUAUGGGAGAGGGAAGUGGAAUUUCCGGUGUAGCGGUGAAAUGCGUAGAUAUCGGAGGAACACCAGUGGCGAAGGCGGCUCACUGGCUCGAUACUGGCGCUGAGGUGCGAAAGUGUGGGGAGCAAACAGGAUUAGAUA
rnacentral:rRNA from 1 species